CAGGGAGACAACAAAAUGUUAAAUAUUAAUUUUGUCACCUUAGGUCGAUCGGUACCUCACAUUCUUAAUUUAUUAAGGAUUUUAUUUCCUAAGUUUUUUCUAGGUCACACCCAUUACUUUUCCUGGGCCAUUAGCUCAGGUGGUUAGAGCGCACCCCUGAUAAGGGUGAGGUCCCUGGUUCAAGUCCAGGAUGGCCCAUAUCUCUAUGUUGGGGGUAUAGCUCAGUUGGUAGAGCGCCUGCUCUGCGAGCAGGAUGUCAGCGGUUCGAGUCCGCUUACCUCCACUGAUUACCACCUCUUCCAUAAUUUUUAUUAGGGAAUUGUUUUGAGUAGUGAUCAAAUUCUGAACGAAUCUAGCUUCCUAAUGAAUUAAUUAAGAUGCUGGACUCAUUGAAUUAAUUUCAUUGUUUUCAGAGAACCUUGACAACUGCAUAGAUUAUUUUUAAAGACAAUAAGCAUCUUUAUGAUGCAGAUUUAUUAUUUGUGCGAAUGCAUUAAUAACAAUUCUAUUAAGCUGAUGCUUCAAUUAUGAAGUUAUU
rnacentral:tRNA from 1 species